GGGUGAUUAGCUCAGCGGUAGAGCACUGCCUUCACACGGCAGGGGUCACAUGUUCGAUCCAUGUAUCGCCCACCA
rnacentral:tRNA from 1 species